rnacentral:misc_RNA from 1 species
UCCCGGUUAACCCGGGCAGUCUCACUAGAGUUCCCACCAUCACGUGUUGGCAACUAGGGAUAAGGGUUGCGCUCGUUGCGGGACUUAACCCAACACCUCACGGCACGAGCUGACGACAGCCAUGCAGCACCUGUGCAAAGGCCCCGAGGGGAGGCUGCAUUUCUGCAGCGGUCCUUUGCAUGUCAAACCUGGGUAAGGUUCUUCGCGUUGCAUCGAAUUAAACCACAUGCUCCACUGCUUGUGCGGGUCCCCGUCAAUUCUUUUGAGUUUCAGCCUUGCGACUGUACUCCCCAGGCGGUAUACUUAACGCGUUAGCUCCGGCACAGCUGGGGUUGAUUCCAGCUACACCAAGUAUACAUCGUUUACAGCAAGGACUAC